rnacentral:rRNA from 1 species
UGGGCGUAAAGCGCGUGUAGGCGGUUUGUUAAGUCAGAUGUGAAAGCCCAGGGCUUAACCCUGGAAGUGCAUUUGAAACUGGCGAACUUGAGUACGGGAGAGGGUAGUGGAAUUCCGAGUGUAGAGGUGAAAUUCGUAGAUAUUCGGAGGAACACCGGUGGCGAAGGCGGCUACCUGGACCGAUACUGACGCUGAGACGCGAAAGCGUGGGGAGCAAACAGGAUUAGAUACCCUGGUAGUCCACGCCGUAAACGAUGGGUACUAGGUGUUGUGGG